CAAGAUUGAUAAUCUUAGAAGAAAACACAAUCAUGACAAAAAUAUCAUUGCCAUGGUAUAGGACAAGUACUCUAAGAUGUUCCAAAUGUGAAGGCUGUGGGCAUGAAACUCAUCAAUGUCCUAAUUGCAAUGCAAGUUUCAUGACUAAUAAAGACCUUAGGAGCUAAAUUUUAUACUUUAAAGAGAAUGAAGAAAGGACAUUGCAACAAAUGGAGGUGCUUAAAAAGGCAAAAGAAGAGUGAAAGGAGAGGCAAGUACUAAGAGAAAAAAAAAGAAAAACAAACAAGAGAGAAAGAUAAGAAAAAAGGAGAGAGAAAUAAAAAGAAAAAGUAAAAGAGACAGUGGAACAAGAAAAAAGACAAAAGGUGGAAAAAGAAGUAAAAAAAGAGAGAGGGGAGAAAGAAAAGAAAGCGAGAAAGGAAGAAGAAAAGAGA
rnacentral:lncRNA from 1 species